rnacentral:lncRNA from 1 species
GGUCAGGCCCGAGGCUGGCUGCUGCUGCUGCUGCGGCUGCGGCUGCUCCUCGUCGCCCAGUGCCGCGGUUUCUUCCGGCUGCUCGUGGUGAGGAUUUUGGUUUUGGUUGUCGGCGCUGCUGCCAUUGCAUUUGAUGUUGUCCCAGGGAAUGGCGCAGAUGAUGACGCACAGGAGGAUAGCAAUGAAGAUCAUGGUGACGUGAAGAGCCGUGAAUCUCAUGGGAGAGGAGGAGGAGGAGGAGGGAGAAGUUCUUGGGAAAGAAGCUGCGUUGAUGCCAUUGCCAUUGCUGACGGAGCUUGAGGCUGGAGGAGAAGGCCAUGGAGGUGCCAAGUCUUCCAUCACCACAGCAAUGUCAGAGGAUGAGGAAGGAGAAGGAGGCAUGAGGAGCAGCAGCAGCAGCAACAUCCUUCUAC